rnacentral:lncRNA from 1 species
AUUUAAUGAAUUGAAGAUUUUUACGAAACUCUUUUCCUCUAGAAGGACAAUUUUUAUUAAAAACCCUAUUCUAGCUCUCCCAACAGUAGGUGCAGCUGAAGUGGAAAACUAAGUUAGAAGAAAAGAAGAGAAAAUAA